CUCAGGGCAGACACCCCUGCCUGGGGACUGUCAGACAAGGGUCCUACUUUAGUUCACCAUCUGUCUUUGCUUCCUCAUCCGCAGGGAAAGAGCCCUCCGCUUCCUGCAUCGCUCACAACCCUACUCUGUGCUCACGGGACCGCCGCCAAUACCAGUGUGGACAGAGCAGGGAAGGGGCUUCUUGAGAGAGCCCACCGCCUAGGGCAGGCAGCACCCCCUGCCCUCAGCCGGGGCCAACCCCACCCUGGCUUAGGAAGGCCCAGCAGGGACCUGGACAGCCAUAUCUCACCACGACAGUCAGCGGCGGAGCAGCUGAACGCUCCAUCUUGGCAGAUACUGGGAAGACAGAAGCACGUGUUCAGAUGCCUCCCGUGUCCUCCUCCCCACCCUUAUUCUCAGCAAGGCUGCCCUCCACCCCCUCCCUGCCCCAGCCCCCCUCCAGGCCCCCCUGCCCAGCCCUUACCAGCGCGUGCAGUUCCUGAUGAGCUCAGUUCCUGGGGGCAGCUCCCGGGCCUGCUCUUCAAGGGUCAAGGUCAGGCCCCAGGGCAGAGAGAUCUGGGUGCAGGGGCACGCCACAGGGGGCACACACGUGCCAUUGUGCAGCAGCUGCGACAGGGCAGUGCAGGCUCGGUUACACUCAUACCACCCGUUCUCUGCCUCCCAACUGCCCCCCGCCUCGGCAGUCAGUGCACUGCACGUACCUGCCCCUCGGGGCAGCCACAGCCAGGCCGGCAGGGCUCCUGCGCACAGAGGGCAUCAGGCUGCAGAUGCGAGCAGAGGCGUGGGCACGAAGUGGCACAGGCACGGAGCACCUGGCCAGGCGGGCACUCUGGGGGGAAGCGCACCAAUGGUGAGAUGAGGUCCCAGGGAGAGGACGGCCUUGGCCCCUCCACCCGCCCUGCCGGACGCCAGCUGAGCUCAGCAGCAGCACUGGAGGGAAGGGAGAUACCCCCCACCCCCCACCCCAGGUGCUCACCAGGGCAGGGCUGGGGGUUACAUUCCUGCUGCUCUGUGUCCUGGGCCUGGCAUGGCACCCCCACAGGACCCUCCUCACAGCUCCGAUGUCGCUCCCUGAAGCCCCCACCGCAGGGAGCGGAGCAGCUGCUCCAGGCGGACCAAGGCCCAAGGACUGGGCACUCAUGGUGUGGGCACACCAGGGAUCCGUUGGUACAGGUACUGGGGACAGGGAUCAAGGGCACAAGUCAAGGUGAACAGAAACUUUGCCUGCCGGUAAUGCCCACACCCUGA
rnacentral:lncRNA from 1 species